CUUGCAAUUUCCAGUAUAAAAGAUUAUAAUCAACGGGUCGCGAAAGUGGCGAUGAUUCUGAACCCGUUGCGGAAUAGACGUUUUGGACCCGGGGGCGGUACCCGGCACCUCCACCAAUAAAAAAUUAUGGGGGUGUAUCAGUUUCGACAGGCGUAAUAAAGGCAAAUGGCUGAAUUCGACGUGGUGUCGUUAAAAACCAAUAAAAAAAUGAAUGCGAACGAUAAUGUUCGUCUUGCAAUGGCUGCCUAAUCUAGGUUUGAAUAUAGUUGGCAAUUGUUGAUUAUAUUCGUUUAGCUUUUUGCGGGGCAUGCCGGGUGCCUGGCACCAGAAACC
rnacentral:tmRNA from 1 species